rnacentral:snRNA from 1 species
GAUCCUGAAGAAAGGUGCUCAUG